GACGAACGCUGGCGGCGUGCCUAAUACAUGCAAGUAGAACGCUGAAGGAAGGAGCUUGCUCUUUCUGGAUGAGUUGCGAACGGGUGAGUAACGCGUAGGUAACCUGCCUGGUAGCGGGGGAUAACUAUUGGAAACGAUAGCUAAUACCGCAUAAAAUUGAUUAUUGCAUGAUAGUCAAUUAAAAGGUGCAACUGCACCACUACCAGAUGGACCUGCGUUGUAUUAGCUAGUUGGUGGGGUAACGGCUCACCAAGGCGACGAUACAUAACCGACCUGAGAGGGUGAUCGGCCACACUGGGACUGAGACACGGCCCAGACUCCUACGGGAGGCAGCAGUAGGGAAUCUUCGGCAAUGGACGGAAGUCUGACCGAGCAACGCCGCGUGAGUGAAGAAGGGUUUCGGAUCGUAAAGCUCUGUUGUAAGAGAAGAACGAGUGUGAGAGUGGAAAGUUCACACUGUGACGGUAGCUUACCAGAAAGGGACGGCUAACUACGUG
rnacentral:rRNA from 1 species